rnacentral:misc_RNA from 1 species
GAUGAAGAACGUAGCGAAAUGCGAUAAGUAAUGUGAAUUGCAGAAUUCAGUGAAUCAUCGAAUCUUUGAACGCACAUUGCGCCCGCCAGUAUUCUGGCGGGCAUGCCUGUUCGAGCGUCAUUUCAACCAUCAAGCCCCAGGCUUGUGUUGGGGACCUGAGGCUGCCGCAGGCCCUGAAAACCAGUGGCGGGCUCGCUGUCACACCGGGCGUAGUAGAUUUUAUCUCGCUCAGGGCGUGCUGCGGGUUCCGGCCGUUAAAAAGCCUUUUUUACCCAAGGUUGACCUCGGAUCAGGUAGGAAGACCCGCUGAACUUAAGCAUAUCAAUAAGCGGAGGA